rnacentral:rRNA from 1 species
CCUUGACCUCAAAUCGGGUGAGACUACCCGCUGAACUUAAGCAUAUCAAUAAGCGGAGGAAAAGAACUAACAAGGAUUCCCCCUAGUAACUGCGAGUGAAGCGGGAAAAGCUCAAAUUUAAAAUCUGGUGGUCUUUGGCCAUCCGAGUUGUAAUUUAGAGAAGCGUCUUCCGCGCUGGACCGUGCACAAGUCUCCUGGAAUGGAGCGUCAUAGAGGGUGAGAAUCCCGUCUUUGGCAUGGAUGUCCCAGGGCUUUUGUGAUGCGCUCUCGAAGAGUCGAGUUGUUUGGGAAUGCAGCUCAAAAUGGGUGGUGAACUCCAUCUAAAGCUAAAUAUUGGCGAGAGACCGAUAGCGAACAAGUACCGUGAGGGAAAGAUGAAAAGCACUUUGGAAAGAGAGUGAAACAGUACGUGAAAUUGUUGAAAGGGAAACGCUUGAAGUCAGUCGCGUCGACCGAGACUCAGCCUUGCCUCGGCUUGGUGUACUUCUCGGCUGACGGGCCAGCAUCAAUUUUGCCCCUUGGAUAAUGGCGGGGGAAAUGUGACACCUUUACGGUGUGUUAUAGUCCCUCGUCGCAUGCAAGGGUCGGGAUUGAGGAACUCAGCACGCGCCUUUGGCGUCGGGGCUUUGCCCACAAUACGUGCUUAGGAUGUUGGCGUAAUGGCUUUAAACGACCCGCU